rnacentral:lncRNA from 8 species
AAUUUUUUUUUCUCCAUUGGUUUAUUUUUCUAAUCAUGCUUUACCUGACCAUGGCUGCGUUCACACAGGCAGCCCAAUUCAGUUUUUUUCUACUAAUUGUUCUUUUGACCAAUUACAUCAGAUCUUUCAGAGCUGAUCUGAUUGGUCAAAAGACCAAUUAGUGGAAAAAAAAGACGUGUAAAUGCAGCCCAUGUUACUCUUUUCAACAGAUCUUUACCAUGUGACUUCACGUUUUUUUCUUGGAUUGCUGAACAUACCACGUCUCGUUCAGCGCUUUGACGUCCUGAGACAUACUGCUGAUGUAAUUGGGCAUCUGGACACCAGUGCAUUCUUGAACCAAGUAACUUGGUCUCACUCCUCCAAAGAUGGGGCCAGGACCACCUCCGAUUCCCUCCCUGGCAGCUUUGUGGUCGUAAAGCACAGGGCUCCCGAGUGGCGCAGUGGUCUAAGGGACUGCAUCUCAGUGCAAGAGGCGUUACUACAGUCCCUGGUUCAAUUCCAGGCUGUAUCACAUCCAUCUGUGAUCGGGUGUCCCGUAGGGCGGCGCGCAAUUGGCCCGGCAUCGUCAGGGUUUGGCCAGGGGUGCACAUGCCAUACCAUGGCUUCUCUGUGUGAGGCAACGGAGUCCAGCAUAGCCAUCUCCUUCUGCUGCUGUGCCAUUGAGCAAUAAUAGCCUUGGCAAUGAGCUCCUCAUUGUCCAUCUGCCCCUGCUGUUGUGGAGCCAAUUUAUUAAUGAUCCUCUCCCUGUGCAUAUGGACCUCCCUUAGGAGGGAGAAGAGGCUUCACAAAUCUAUGCCCAUGAGACUUUCAGAAUUGUAAGACAACUGUUGACUAGUGAUGCCACAGAUAUAUAUUUCUUAUUGUGGUACUUCAAAUGUUUUCUCAUGUGAUUUCCUUUUUCAACCAUGUUCUACUCACCUGAACAUCUCUUCCUCUUUGUCUUUCCUUAACUUCACAAUUUUCUGUUUUGCAUUUGCAAAAAGCCUCCUGCGCUCCUCCUCCAUCUCUUGCUUUUGUGCCUAUAUUGCUCUAAUGAUAUCUCUGUUAGAGAGAUGCUUCUUUAAAUACAAAUGCAGGAUUCAUUAAUACACCUCCAUGAAUCUUGUGUAAUAUUGCUCUUACAUCCUAAAACCUUAACAUGUGAGCUUUCAUGGUAUUUAUUAAGCCUUCCCUGUAUCUCAGUUGGUAGAGCAUGGUGUUUGCAAUGCAUGGUGUUUGCAAUGCCAGGGUUGUGGGUUCGAUUCCCACGGGGGGCCAGUAUGGGAAAGAGAGAGGAAAAAAAAAGUUAUGAAAUGUAUGCAUUCACUACUGUAAGUCGCUCUGGAUAAGAGCAUCUGCUAAAUGACAUAAAUGUAAUUUCUCUGCUGCGCUGCUUUCUUUUGCUCCUGCAUGCCUUGCUUCCACAGAAAAAGCAACUUUAGUCGCUGGAGUUCCUCUGCCUCUUUGUCUUCCAGCUUCUCUUUUUGUCUUCCAGCUUCUCCCGUUCUCUAUCUAUUUCAUGUUCCCUCCCCCUUCUAUGGGACGAGACGAUUCAUCAUACUAAACCAUUGAGAGCAUUCAGUCUAUUCUAUUUGAACUACGUUUAAAUUCAUUCUACUUCAUGGUAGAGUAUUUGGUAGUCUAUGACCUAGAUAUUCAAUUUAAUAACUGCUGCCAGGUUGUUAGGAUUCAAUGAGACUUACUAGAGAUGGGUCGUUCGCGAACGAGUCGGCUCUAAGAGCCGGGUCUUGUAGGUGAAUGUUGGGAGCCGGCUCGCAUAUCAAAAGAGCCGAAUCUAUUUAUAAAAAAUAUUAAAGAAUUAAGAUAUGAAUAAUCAAAAGAUUUAAAUGAAUAGAAUGAACAAAAAAAUCAAUAAAAUAAUAUAGGCCUAAGUGCUCAAGCUCACACACAUUCAUUCUGACUGUCUGCUCAGACUAACAGCCUCACCUGUUGUUUCUGUCAAUCAGACACGCAGUGUCAACCAAUGAACCAAAGAUGCAUGAGGGAGGGCCGAGCCAACUCACUCAGUCACACACUUAGCAGACCCGAGGAGAGAGAGGAAGGACAGCUGUGAAAACAACAGCUGGAAAAUGAGUCGGAAGCACAGUAGCAUUUGGAUGCAUUUUAAUAAUGUAGACAAUGUUAGAGCACAGUGUAGAAUUUGCCAAAACAAAAUAUCAUAUAAAGCUGGUUCUGCACACAACCUACACCGACAUAUGCGAACUGUGCACCCAACUGUGAAACUAGCUGUAGCGGAGCUUUGAGAAACUAGUGGGCCUGCUAGUGAUAGUGGUGGAGCCAGCACCUCCACACGUGGAGAUGUAUCCACUCAGUCAAGUAGGCCUACUCUGUACCCACAGCAACGCAGUCUUCUAUGGACCAGUUCAUGCCAAAGUCUAUGUCUGUAGCAAAACAAGGCCACAUUGAUAUUGCAUUGGCUAAAAUGAUUGCCACCGAUUUCCAGCCAUUUUCGAUCUUGGACGACAGAGGUUUUAGAAAUUAUAGCAAUAGUCUAACUCCAAUGUACACAACUCCAAGCAGGAAAACCUUUUCAAAAUCACUUAUUCCACAACUGUACGAGAGCACACAGGCUUCAGUGUGGGAAAGAGUCCAAAAAGCUACUGCAGUUUGCCUGACCACUGACUGCUGGACAUCAAGGGUAACCACUUACAUGUCAGUUACAUGUCACUUCUUUGAAGAUUGUUCGAUGUCUAGCUGUCUUCUGGACUGCUUUGAGUUCAGCGACAGACACACCUCAGAGAACUUGGCAGAGGAACUGUUGAGUGGCCAGAGAAUGGCAAGUAGAUGGAAAAGUGGUCUGUUUUAGCGACAAUGCAGCUAACAUAAUCAAAUCCAUGAACAUUUUAAAAUGGACCCAUCAUCCAUGUCUUGCCCACACAAUCAACCUGAUUGUAAGAGAUGCUCUGAAGGUGAUGAAGCCCACUGGACAAAGUGAAAGCAGCUGUGGAAUACUUCCACAGGAGCACAGUAGGUGUUGAAAAACGAAAGUCUACACAACGCCAGAUGGGGAUGCCUGAGCUGAGGCCUAAACAAGACUACACUACAAGGUGGAAUUCAGCAUUUUACCUUUUACCCUGCCUGGCCAUUGUCCAUGCACCUGUUGAUGCUCUGACCCAAGAGGAAUGGGAGGUGGUGGAGGUUUGCAGAGUCCUGGAACCCUUUGUGCAGGUCACUGUGGAGAUCAGUGGAGAGAGGUACAGUAAGCAGUUAUGACUACAUCAUUAUUUAAUCCAGUAUUAUAAUGUAUAUGAGCAGUAGAGUAGAAUGUAGUAUCAGUAGACAAAACAUGAGCCUGAACUAAUAAGUUACUGUUCUCUCUUUUCAGCUAUGUGACAGCCUCAAAAAUGAUACUCCCGUGUAAGGGUCUGCAGCGAAUCACAGCCAGCCGCCAGAGAGAAGCAAAUGUAACCACAGGACAUGUGACAGAGUUGAUGGACACCCUAUGUUCAUCAAUGGACAGAAAGUUCCACAGAAUAUAAUUUUUAUUACAUUUUUAUUUUACCUUUAUUUAACUAGGCGAGUCAGUUAAGAUUUUUAUUUUAUUUUCAAUGACGGCCUAGGAACAGUAAUCACGCGGUAUCAGAAACCGCUGCACUUGACCCCAGGUUUAAGAAGUUAGCCUUCAGUGACGCCAGAGUGAUUGAUGAGGCUCUUCAAAGAAUAACCUCAGCAGCAGGGAGGGACAGCCCCAGCAGUCAGCUGGCUCAGGCACCAGGGCAACAGGAAGAAGAGGGAUCAGAUGGAGCAGAAGCACCAGCAGUAGUGCCACAAACGUCUGCUGUUUGGAUGCUGUUUGACGAGACAGCAACUGGGGAUGCAGCACGAAGGAAUCCCUCAGCAGAUGUCAUAAUGGAGGUCCGAUCCGCUGAGCUGGUGGAAGAACAAGGCCUCUGUCUACCCGCGGCUUACUAAAGUCAUGACAGGGAGACUCUGCAAAGUGGCCACAUCCGUUCCCUCUGAGAGGGUCUUCUCGAAAACAAGACAAAUAAUUACUGCGAGAAGGAACCGCAUCAGCCCCUCGAAAGUGAGGCAGCUUGCAUUUCGGAAUGCAAAUCUCUCAUAUAAGCAAAAUGUGGUCAGCAUUGCUGUGUGCUGCUGGUUAUAACAUGGCAAGAGAGAGAAAAGAGGGACCAGUUUAAUGUUUUAAGUGGGAUGCUGCAGGUUUGCACAUUGUUAUUUAUUUUUCUUUGAUAAGGUGCAAUAUUCUAUUAUGUUGUUCAGAUUGUAUUCAUUUUGAAUUGUUGCAUUUAUGCUCUUUGUUUAUAUACAUUAAUAAAGUUAUACUUUAAAUGCACAUGUAUAAUGGCAUCCUCCUUUUUUACAUUUAUUUCAAUUUGUGGGAUGCUGCAGUUUUGCAAAUUAUUUAUUUUUAUUUGAUA